GAUGAAGAACGCAGCGAAACGCGAUAAGUAAUGUGAAUUGCAGAAUCCAGUGAAUCAUCGAAUCUUUGAACGCACAUUGCGCCCGCCAGCAUUCUGGCGGGCAUGCCUGUUCGAGCGUCAUUUCAACCCUCGACCUCCCCUUGGGGAGGUCGGCGUUGGGGACCGGCAGCACACCGCCGGCCCUGAAAUGGAGUGGCGGCCCGUCCGCGUCGACCUCUGCGCAGUAAUACAGCUCGCACCGGGACCCCGACGCGGCCACGCCGUAAAACACCCAACUUCUGAACGUUGACCUCGAAUCAGGUAGGACUACCCGCUGAACUUAAGCAUAUCAAUAAGCGGAGGA
rnacentral:misc_RNA from 1 species